rnacentral:rRNA from 1 species
AGAGUUUGAUCCUGGCUCAGAACGAACGCUGGCGGCGUGGCUAAGGCAUGCAAGUCGAACGGACUUAUCCAACGGGUAACUGGAGGAUAGGUCAGUGGCGAACGGGUGAGGAAUUCAUGGAUAACGUGCCCCGGACUCAGGGAUAGCGUUGUGAAAGCGACGGUAAUACCUGAUGACCCCGCAGGAUCGCAUGGUCUCGCGGGCAAAGCUCCGACGGUCCGGGAGCGGUUCAUGUCCUAUCAGCUAGUUGGUGAGGUGACGGCUCACCAAGGCGGCGACGGGUAUCGGGCGUGAGAGCGUGACCCGACACAUCGGAACUGAGACACGGUCCGGACACCUACGGGUGGCUGCAGCAACGAAUAUUCCGCAAUGGACGAAAGUCUGACGGAGCGACGCCGCGUGCAGGAAGAAGUCCCUCGGGAUGUAAACUGCUUUCAGGGGUGAGGAACAAAAUGACCAGCCCCAAAAGAGC